rnacentral:rRNA from 1 species
AUUGAACGCUGGCGGCAGGCUUAACACAUGCAAGUCGAACGAGUGGCGGACGGGUGAGUAAUGUCUGGGAAACUGCCUGAUGGAGGGGGAUAACUACUGGAAACGGUAGCUAAUACCGCAUACCAUCAGAUGUGCCCAGAUGGGAUUAGCUAGUUGGUGGGGUAACGGCUCACCAAGGCGACGAUCCCUAGCUGGUCUGAGAGGAGGACCAGCCACACUGGAACUGAGACACGGGCCAGACUCCUACGGGAGGCAGCAGUGGGGAAUAUUGCACAAUGGGCGCAAGCCUGAUGCAGCCAUGCCGCGUGUAUGAAGAAGGCCUUCGGGUUGUAAAGUACUUUUAGCGGGGAGGCGUUACCCGCAGAAGAAGCACCGGCUAACUCCGUGCCAGCAGCCGCGGUAAUUC